rnacentral:rRNA from 1 species
AUGAUAGUCAAAUUGAUUGAUGGCCGUUGGGAGGUCACUUAUUUUAUUGCUGAGCAUAACCAUCCAUUGAUUAAGAAACCUUCAUUGACUAAAUAUUUGCGAUCGCACCAGGGCAUACCACCAGAAGAGAAGUUGUUCCUAAAAAACCUUCAUAAUUGCAACUUAACUACAGGCCGAAUGAUGCACAUCAUGUCGGAUUACUAUGGCACAGAGUUGAUUGUUCCUUAUACUGACAAGCACAUCACGAACCUGAAGUCAAGCUUGAACAGGGAUGCAACUAAAGAAGGCGAUAUGAUUGAGACAGUUGCCUAUUUCAAAGAUAUACAGAAGACAGAUCCAGAAUUCUUCUACAAGGUCAAGUAUGAUGCAGAAGACAAGGUUGAGAAUAUAUUCUGGGUUGAUGGACCAGCACGAAAAGCCUACAAAGAAGCCUAUCAUGAUUACAUAUUCUUUGACACGACAUACAUGACUAACAUGUAUAACAUGUCGUUUGCUCCAUUCAUUGGGAUAAAUCGUCAUGGGCAGACAUUCAUGUUGGGGUGUGGCUUUGUUAGGCAGGAGUUAGAGACAAGUUUUGAUUGGUUAUUUGGUACAUUUCUUGAAGCAAUGGAUGGUCUAGCACCAGACAACAUAAUCACUGACCAAGAUUGGGCGAUGGCACAAUCCAUUGAAAACAUUUUCCCUACUUCUGUGCAUCGUCGAUGUUGGUGGCACAUAAUGAAGAAAGCUCAGGAAAAACUUGGUGGCUUAGUUGGAAGGAACCCAGGAUUGUCAAAAGAUUUCAAUGAUAUAGUUGACUUUAGCUUCACUCCAGGAGAAUUUGAGACAAAAUGGACAAGCUUCAAGGAUAAGUGGCCUUUUAUUGCUGGAACCCACUUUGAUAAGUUGUAUGAGUACCGGGCAACAUGGGUGCCUUGUUACUUCAAACACCGGUUUUUCCCCUUCUUGCAGUCUACCCAGAGAAGCGAAGGUUUUAAUGCAGUUCUUAAGCGUUAUGUGAACCCGCACAACUCUGUGUUGAACUUUGUUAAGCAGUAUGAGAAAAUACAGACACAUGUGCUUGUCCAUGAGGGCGGAAAUGACUAUAGGACAGACCACUUGGAGGUUGAGUUGUGGUCUGAUUUCCCAAUCGAGAAACAAGCCUAUCAAGCCUACACUAGGGACAUUUACCUCAAGUUCCGAACCGAGUUUGCACUAAUUGGGAAAUACAAUGUUCGUCCGCAUGGUGCUAGUUUGUUUGAGCUUUACCCAAACAGAGAAGGAUGGGUUGGUAAUUAUGGUUCUAUAAGCUAUUAUGUGACAGCAGAAGUCGAAUCUGGUGACUACAAAUGUGACUGUUGCAAGAUGACCAAAGAUGGAAUGUUGUGUUGCCAUAUUUUGAAAAAAUUUACACACAUUGGUGUCGAUGCAAUUCCUGCCCAAUACAUACUAAGAAGGUGGACACAGCAAGCAAUACCAGGUGCUGCACCUUCUAUUGAGGCAGAGCCGGAUGAGAUGCCACCGCAAUCGAAGAAGCUAGUUCUCAAGCAAACUUGUCAAUGGAUUUUGCUAGUCUAG